rnacentral:sRNA from 1 species
AGUUGAAUCUAGGUAGUGGGUAUAUGAAUGAUCAACUUUUCUGUAUGUUUAAAAGUUUUCACUAAUUGAUCACAACCAGUUACAGAUUCCUUUGUUCCUUCUCCACUCCCUCUGCUCCACUUGACCAGCCUAAA